rnacentral:rRNA from 1 species
UGCUGGAGGUAUCAGAAGUGCGAAUGCUGACAUGAGUAACGAUAAAGGGAGUGAAAAACUCCCUCGCCGGAAGACCAAGGGUUCCUGUCCAACGUUAAUCGGGGCAGGGUAAGUCGACUCCUAAGGCGAGGCCGAAAGGCGUAGUCGAUGGGAAACAGGUUAAUAUUCCUGUACUUCUUACAAUUGCGAUGGGGGGACGGAGAAGGCUAGGUGGGCCUGGCGACGGUUGUCCAGGUUCAAGUACGUAGGCGGGUGGUUUAGGUAAAUCCGGACCGCUACUAACGCUGAGAUACGAUGUCGAGCUACUACGGUAGUGAAGUCAUUGAUGCCAUGCUUCCAGGAAAAGCCUCUAAGCUUCAGAUUGUAAGGAAUCGUACCCCAAACCGACACAGGUGGUCGGGUAGAGAAUACCAAGGCGCUUGAGAGAACUCGGGUGAAGGAACUAGGCAAAAUGGUACCGUAACUUCGGGAGAAGGUACGCUCUUAUCAGUGAAGUCCCUUGCGGAUGGAGCAGACGAGAGUCGCAGAUACCAGGUGGCUGCAACUGUUUAUUAAAAACACAGCACUGUGCAAAAUCGUAAGAUGACGUAUACGGUGUGACGCCUGCCCGGUGCCGGAAGGUUAAUUGAUGGGGUUAGACUUCGGUCGAAGCUCUUGAUCGAAGCCCCGGUAAACGGCGGCCGUAACUAUAACGGUCCUAAGGUAGCGAAAUUCCUUGUCGGGUAAGUUCCGACCUGCACGAAUGGCGUAAUGAUGGCCACGCUGUCUCCACCCGAGACUCAGUGAAAUUGAAAUCGCUGUGAAGAUGCAGUGUACCCGCGGCUAGACGGAAAGACCCCGUGAACCUUUACUACAGCUUGGCACUGAACAUUGAACCUACAUGUGUAGGAUAGGUGGGAGACUUUGAAACCGCGUCGCUAGAUGUGGUGGAGUCGUCCUUGAAAUACCACCCUUGUAGUUUUGAUGUUCUAACGUUGGUCCCUGAAUCGGGAUUACGGACAGUGCCUGGUGGGUAGUUUGACUGGGGCGGUCUCCUCCCAAAGAGUAACGGAGGAGCACGAAGGUGGGCUAAACACGGUUGGACAUCGUGUGGUUAGUGCAAUGGCAUAAGCCCGCUUGACUGCGAGAAUGACAAUUCGAGCAGGUGCGAAAGCAGGUCAUAGUGAUCCGGUGGUUCUGAAUGGAAGGGCCAUCGCUCAACGGAUAAAAGGUACUCCGGGGAUAACAGGCUGAUACCGCCCAAGAGUUCAUAUCGACGGCGGUGUUUGGCACCUCGAUGUCGGCUCAUCACAUCCUGGGGCUGAAGUCGGUCCCAAGGGUAUGGCUGUUCGCCAUUUAAAGUGGUACGCGAGCUGGGUUUAGAACGUCGUGAGACAGUUCGGUCCCUAUCUGCCGUGGGCGUUGGAAAAUUGAAAGGGGCUGCUCCUAGUACGAGAGGACCGGAGUGGACGAACCUCUGGUGUUCGGGUUGUCAUGCCAAUGGCAUUGCCCGGUAGCUAAGUUCGGAAUCGAUAACCGCUGAAAGCAUCUAAGCGGGAAGCGAGCCUUGAGAUGAGUUUUCCCUG